UAUCUCAAAAAAUUGUUGAAACAAAAGAAAAACAAAAUUAGUAACUGUUGAUUUUUAAUAAGAGUAACCAUAGUUCGACUUGGUAGAAAACAUGGAAGUAGCUUUCGAAAAGAGAAGAGAAAGAGAGAGGGAGAGAGAGAGAGGGAGGCAGAGAGAGCAUAUUAUCUGUGCGUUGAUAUUCUUCGUAGUUUAAAAUGGAUAAAUUCCAAAUUGGCUUUUGGCACAGAAAAAAUAUAUAAUAGAAAGGAUACUUUAAAAUUGAACGAUAAUCACCCUUACACAUCAUAGAGCUGACAUCACCAUCUCUAAAAAAGGUUUAAACAGAACGAAAAAAUCAAGUUUAACAAUAUUUUAUGUUUAAUAAUUGUGACAAUAUUUCGAGCUUAAAGAAAACAUGGAGGUAGAGUUCGAAAGCAAACAUAGACUCGCCUAUCUCAAUAUAUCUACGUUGGUCCACAUUGGUGGUUUGUUGAACUUUUCCGCAGCCACAAGCCUUCGCAUUUAUCACGAUAUUUCCAACCCGCACAAGGAUUUGUACCUAAAAUUUGGUUACUCCUUUAAAUAUGUUUCAACGCAGAAUGCAGUAGUCCAGUCGAUAUAUUUCCUUAUAGCUCUCAUAGUUGAUAUUAUGAUAAGUUGUUCGUAUACUAUGGACGCUCCUCCCAGAUGGCUGAUGGUGAGAUCUUUCUACAGAUCGGCGAUAGCUAUACCAUAUGGAUCAUAUACGUGUGUAACGUUUUGGAUAUUCAUUUGGUACGAUGUAGGGUUGAUGGCGGAUUCCGGUCCGAAAUGGACGCGUCACAUAAUUUAUACGUCAAACACACUUUUUUUACUGCUUGAUGUGAUCUUUUGCAAGGGGGAAUCUGUCCGCAUUGGCACCGCUCUGAUUGUGAUGCACAUUCCAUGUACACUUUACUUCAUAUGGCUGCACAUCCUUUAUCACUUCACUGGAGUGUGGGCUGUUUCUGUUUUGAAACAUCUUACGCUCGUGGAGAGGUUGAUAUUAUACGUUUUUAACGUACUAGAAGUUUACUUGAGCUUUGUGAUUGGGAAGAUCCUAAACGACUUUCUGUGGGAUGAAAAUUUUGUCAGUCGCAUCCCGAUAUUCCGCAAUUUUGUCACAGCGCCUCCUCGUUUCAUUUUCGGACAGCCGUCUACAGAAUCUGCCAAAUUCAGACAAUUCUUGAGUCGUACCGAAAGCCUGCUUGUGGACAGACCACGUAAAAAGAAGAAAAAAGAAACCAACCGAACGCCAGUAGAACCUUAGAAUGGUGAGAUUUGGACUCAUGUUGAAAUUUCAUUCAAUCAGCAACUACGAAAUGCUUAAUCGGAUCGAUUGAAUACGUAUUACUUUUAAUGAGGAAGAAAUUAUCUGCCGAUGAACUCUAAAACGAAUAUAAGCCAUUAAAUAAUCGUAUUCUAGUUUUUGUAAUUGCGUAAUAAUAAAUUAUAUAUAGAUAUUGCAGAACACUUCUCCCGCUUGCCCCGUCAGAAAGGGUGCGUCAACAUGUAUAUACCCGAUCGUGUGCCGCAUGGCUGUUGGAAAACGUUCCACUUGGUGCUGAAAUGCAUCACGUGAUUAACCGUGCAAUACUAUCUACAUAGAGAUCAACUCUAUCCCCCUGGGUGUAGGGGCCCCACUGGCGUCGGAACUACCUGAUCCGCUCCUAGCGAGGUUUUGUUUACAGUGGAAUUUCUAACCACCCCUUAAAGGAACACUGCCGUCGGUAAAGCCACCACAGAACAUAAGGCUCUUCUCUAAGUACACACCAAGGGUCUCACCUCCGAUCCCAUUCUCACGAACGCGCUGCUGGGCUUGGAACUUGGAACACUCUUGCGCUACAGGAUCUGAAACCAUAACCCCUCUGUGCAGCUGACCCGGCACCCGCCGUCCGCGGCUGACUCCCUAUCAUCCGAAUGGUGAAUGUGAAUACCGUACGUUACCCAGAAGAUCAUGGGGGACUUUAGGAUAAGCAGGCCAAACUCGAUGAAAUGCUUGCAGAAGACAAAGACGGACAUCCACGCAAUACUGCUUUUGCUCGAAGUACGGGGCAAUAACGUCUACAACACGGCGCCAUAGAACUGUAGAGAGUUGGUGUCGGAAGCCCCAACUGAUGAGGGAUUAAAUGAAGGGAAUCAGGGUUUGGAUACUGUCGGUGCAUGAGGAGUUUUUCAAAGAUUGGUCUAUAUGAAGAGCAAUGGCUUUUUUGGUUUCAGGAGCAUGAUAAUGGAGGCCAAUUUUUAUCAGAUUAGGGGGUAUGUGGUUCUUAAGACGAAGUUUCACAGUUGGCUAAGGAAUCAAGGGCACAUUUAGGAAUGUGGCAGAUAAUAUUUUAUAUAUGAUUGAAAAUAUUUUUGUGAUGUAGUCUGUUGGUUGGAAUUUUGCCAAUGCUAACAACAAUGCUAAGUAUCAGGUGAUAUUUAGACGGUACGUGAACGUUUAGUAAAUUAUUAAGAUUGUUGAAUUCCAAAUUAAAGUUUGGCACAGUAGGACUAGGUAUUACAAAGGAAAUGAAAAACUGAACUUUUUUAGAAUUGAAGAUUAAUCGCCUCUCACAUAACCAAGAGCUCGCCAUUCAAAAAACAAAAGCAAAAUUGGAAAACAUAUUAUAUUUAAUAAACAUAUUCCGUAACUACAUAAAACAUGGAGAUAGAUUUCGAAAGAAAACACCGACUUGUCUAUCUCACUUUUUCUAUCAUCGUCCACACUGUUGGUUUCCUUACCUUUUCCGCCGGAGUAUGUUUUCGCUUGUAUCACGAUGUUACCGAGGACGACCAGGAUUUCUACAUGAAAUUUGCUUAUUCCUUCAAAUAUGUCAGUAUGUUGAAUGCAGUAAUCCAGUUGUUAUAUUUCUUUUUUGCUCUCACCGUUGAUAUUAUGACAAAUUGUUCGUAUACUUUGGACGCUCCUGCAGGAUGGUUGAAGGCGAGGUCUUUCAUCAGAUCUGCGAUUGCUAUACCGCUUGGGCUGUAUACCUGUGUGACGUUUUGGGUAUUAACUUGGUUCAAUAUAGCAAUGCUGGGAGACGUUGGUUCGAAUUGGAUGCGUCAUAUUCUCUUCACGUCCAAUCCCAUUAUUUUACUAUUCGAUGUUGUCUUUUGUGCUGGGGAAUCUUCCAAAUUUGUCAUCGCACUAAUUGUGAUAAAUACAGAGUGGACAUUUUACUUCAUAUGGCUACAUAUAAUUCAUUACGCCACUGACGUGUGGCCGAUUCCUUUCUUUAAAACUCGUUCGCUCGUGAUAAGAUUGCUAUUAUACGUUGUAGCCGUACUCGAAGAAUUCGCGCUAUUUGUCAUUGGGAAACUCUUAAAUGAUGUUUUGUGGAGUGACGAGUUCGUCGCUCGAAUCCCGUUUUUACGCAGCUAUGUCUCAGCACCUCCUCGUUUCAUAUAUGGAAAUCCGUCUACAGAUUCUGUCAAAUAUGGGAAAGUUUUGAGUGGAACCGAGAGCAUGUUUGUGGACCGACCAGUUAAAAAGAAGAAAACUCUACCCAAAAGAAAUAAAUAAAAACGUGACAUUACGUCCAGAAUUAUAUUGACAGCUCGAAUUCAAAAAACUCAUUUUCACACUAACAAAAGAUCAGAGAAGAAAAAUGACAAAGUCGAAGAAAGGAAUGUCCAAAACCACCAUUAAAAAAAUUAAAAAAUAAAUAAUUUAAGGUAA
rnacentral:misc_RNA from 1 species